UCAAAAACUGCUAGAAAAAAACUCAGAACAUUUGCUUAGCCUAAUACUUUUUUUUCCAUCUACACAUAAUUAUUAUUGUAGCAGCUGCUUUUGCAAUAAAAAGGCUUAAAGUCGAGGCUCCCUGUAUCUAUGGAGAAAGAGGAGCAGUGCACCAUUGACAUCAUGCACAGAGGUAGCAUGAAGGUGUGACUGAGUUUUUAGAAAUUAUUUCCUAAUCUUAUGCUAAUAUGAAUACUACAAUAAUAAUAAUAAUAAUAAUAAUAAUAAGAAGAAGAAGAAGAAGAAGAAGAAGAAAGGGUGAUUAAUAAAAUAAAAUAAAUAAAAUAGCAGCGCUGCGUGGUGUUCUGGAUGGAUCUUGACUGCCAUCGUGUGGUCAUGUUUAGGAAGUGCACCUUCCCCCAAACGUUGUUUAAAGCCGCAGAUUAUAAAUCUAUAUUCCUGCUGAGUGUGUGUUUAUGACCUGGAUGUUGAGUUGCUUUUACACUUUCUACAUAAGCAGCAUUUCUGGCCUCUGUGAGCCCCAGGUGAUGAUCUUUUAUUUUCAGAUUCUUACUGAGGUGCUGUUUUCCACAUGCAGUGCUUGGCUGUGUUGGAGGCCACCAAGAAAGACUUCCUGGCUGUCAUGUGGAAGCUAAGUGGGCUGGGGUCAAAAGGGUUUCUGGCCAUGGUGCUUGUGCUGCAGUGAUCUUGUUCUCCAUCACACUCCAACACAGUGUCCAAAGCCCAGGCUGACCCCCCACCCCUUCAACCUUUGCAGCAAUGCUGGCAGCACUAUUUCCCAAAGACAACCUCUGGAUAUGACGCUGAGCACGUGCAAUCAACUUCUUCUUUGGUCGACCAUGGCGAGGCCUGUUCUGAGUGCAACCUGUCCUGUUAAACCGCUGUAUGGUCUGGGCCACCGUGCUGCAGCUCAGUGUCAGGGUCUUGUGCCCAAAGCCCGUGGUGGUGGAAGUGCAUGGCGUUUGUGUGGAAGCAGGUCUGUUGGGAGUGUUAAGUACCAUCAUCUCAUACACUCACCACAACUCUGGGAAGUUCCAUCCAUAUUGUUUGCUGUCACUUUUCCUGCAACGCUUUAACCAUCAGAGAGUUAUCUUUUACUGGGGCUUUUAGCUGCAGGAGACUGAAUUACUAAGUUUUUUUUUUUUUGUGGAUCUGAUUUCUUCUUUCGCAGGAGUGGAUCUAAUCACAGCCUGUGAUAUUCGUCUGUGCACACAGGAUGCCUGGUUUCAGGUGAAGGUAUGAGGAACAUUAACUUGCCAUACAUUGCUUGCUUACAUGUUUACACCAAGAUCUGUAAACAAGCUAUUUUUGUCCAUGUGAUCAUAUAUAGAGAUAGUAAGUGAUGAGAAGAUAAGAAUGGGCUGAUUGUUCUGACUCGUACAAGCCCCUAUGAAAGAGUUGACCACAAGGGGGCACACUCUGAACAAUUAUUUACAUUUGCAGUUUGUUGAAGAUUAAAUAAACCACUGUGAGCAUCAGAUGUCUGGUUUUAAUACAAAGUUUUAUGAUGAACUAUUUUAUGAUAUUACCAUCUUGUCAUUUAUCAAAGAAGAGCUACAAAACCUGAAAUUUGUUCAUUUUUAGACAGAAAAAUUCUGCAGUGUAGCUCUUCUAGUGGGCUUUCCCACUGGAUGUUUAGUCCAACACAGAGCAGUUUGCAUGAAAAGUUGGUAAUGUGACCGUCGUAAUGUGGACUGGGAAGUGCACUGCGGUACCGAACCCGAGACUACCUGUAGAAGGUGGUCCGAGUUCAGUUACAAUGGAACUGUGAAUGUGAAUUGUCCCAUGAAUGUGAACGUAACUUGUAUCCGGGUCUGCACUUUUUCAGGAAGUAGAGUAACCUGUGCUGAAGGCCUGUUGUGGUGAUGACGUGUCAUGACAUGUUUUGGCCCAAAUUUGCAGUGACUUUGAAAAAGUGGAAGCUCCUCUGAAUAUUGUGGAGUUUCUUGAUUUUGCGUUAAUUUCUGUGAUCACAAAAAGGUGAAAUUCUGGACUGACACAUGGAAGAUAUGGAAUGAUAACAGAAGAAUGUGACUUUGGGUUGUACCAUGUAUUUUUUUCAUGUAGCUUUAUUAUUUAGUAUAAAUGAAGGCAAGUGUGUGUUCUGUUCUUCAUCUCUGCAGUCGUGUGUUCCCUGAUAGUCCAUGAUUGCUGGAGCUCUGGAAAUAGCAGGUGAGAUUGCAGGCCGGAGUCGCGUCGCUGUCCAAGGAACCAAAAUCAACCUCCUCUACUCCUGAGACCACAGUGUGACUGAGAGCCUAGACUACAUGGCUACUUGGAACAUGAACAUGUUGCAGACACAGGAUCUUAUGAAGUCAGCGCAGGCAGCCCUGGAAAAGAAGAGUCCGAAAGACGUGCCCUUCUCCAAGCUUUAAAGGAGAAGAUCCAGGGCUGUUGAAGCUGCGGUGGAACUGAGACAUCAUCAUCCACAUAUCUUCAGUUCUUCUUGCUAAGUCUGUUUCUUUUUAGUCUUUUUAUUUUUAGACUGGUCAAAAGACUGAUUAGUGGAAGUGAAAUGAUAGAUGAACUUUUAUUUACUUGCUUUAUUAUUUGCAGGUGCCUUGUACAGUAAGACAGGGUAACUAAUACUCAAAAGCUUUUUUUGUGUGUUAACAUGUACAGUAGAUGGACAUAUUUUUUCUGGUGCUGUGACUGCAGAAUGUAGUGCAGUUAACACAUUAAAUUUCCUUGGAUGCUCACUUUUAACUCUAGGAGGUCACAGUUUGCCCAGACAUCUUUUUUUAAAUCCGUCAAUCCGUCACCCACACGUCAUUCUGGGGGACGAAGAGGAGGAAGCUGGACAGAUAAAUUUAUUUAUUUAUUUAUCAUUGCUGUGUUUCCUCAAUCGAGUGCAGAAAGAAGAAAAACAACACAACUGAUUUAAAAUAAAAAUAUAGAAAAUAAUCUAAUGUAAGAUUCUGAUCCGGUUUGCUUUCAGCAGGAAGGCUGUCCUCUUUCCUGUUGCUCUUUCUCUUCUAUUAGUCCAUUUGUCCAGUCUGAAUCGGUUUUGAUUCGUUUCGAGACGAUUCGGAGUCGAAUAAUUUUCUAGUGAGAGUCGCACACUUCCAAACGAACUAGACUGAGAUGAGUAUUUGAUUCUCACUAGAAAGUGAUUCGACUCUGAAUAAACUCGAAAUGAAUCAGUCAAACUGAUUCAGACUCUAUAAAAGGACUAUGAGAUGUGAUUAAGAUAUAUAUUCCAAUGUUUUGCUUUACAAUUCCAUUGUGUGUGUGUGUGUGUGUGUGUGUGUGUGUGUGUGUGUGUGUGUGUGUGUGUGUGUGUGUGUGUGUGUGUGUGUGUGUGUGUGUGUGUGUGUGUGUGUGUGUGUGUGUGUGCGUGCGCGCGCACGUGUGUUUUUCAGGAGAACGAGAAACUCGGACACAACAGUACAUCCUGACCAUUGGUACUGUGUACACAUCAACAUACACACACACGUCUCCAUGCUGGACAUCUCAGGAGCUUUCACACAGUGCUAGGAAUAUCCCGGGACAGAGAAACGCACCUUCUAAGUGAGCGAGUUUAGCGUCAACCGGUGAAAUUUGCUGUAGCGUGAACACUUUGCCUCUGUGAGCUUCACUCUCCGUAGGGUUCACUGUAAUUAGACAUAAAAUGUACAUAGAUUAUUUUUCAUGCAUUUAGGAUUUCAUGGUUUUUUUUUUUUUUUUUUUUUUUUUUUUUUUUU